ensembl:rRNA 5S_rRNA 5S ribosomal RNA
GUCUGUGCCCAAACUGCCUGGAAUGUACCUGAUUUCAAAAGAUAAGCAGGGUUGGGUCUGGCUAGUACUUGGAAAGGAGACUACCUGGGAAUAUUUGGUAUUCUAAGCA